CAAAAUUUCUCCUCCGCUCUGCCUCCCAAAUUCACAUCCCGCUUCACACAUUCUCUGCCUCAAUUCUCUUCCGAUGUAAGUGUAACUAUGGUAAACUUGGUGUGAGGACUUUAUUUGUAUAAAAUUGUGCGGCUUUUCACAAUUUCAAAGUUCAACAGGAAGUGUCAAGGAUGAAACCAUUCCUUUUCUUGAUAGUUUGAAAUCAAUGUUGGUGUGGACGACGUCAGAUCUACUCUAUAAGGGGACACACAACCAAUAAAGUGGGUAAUGCGGUUCAGAGUGGCAUUGUAUAUUGCACAAGCUCUUGAAAAUUGUACAGGCAAAGGACGUGCUCUUUAUCAUGAUUUAAUCCUUAUAGAAUAUUAUUCAGAGAAGAUGGUGAUCCCCGAUUCUCUUGCUUUGGUUUGAUGAAGAACAAUCGAGAUGGAAAAAGUUACAGCACAAACUUGACAUUUACCUCUC